rnacentral:rRNA from 1 species
UACGUAGGGUGCGAGCGUUGUCCGGAAUUAUUGGGCGUAAAGAGCUUGUAGGCGGUUUGUCGCGUCUGCCGUGAAAAUCCGGGGCUCAACCCCGGACUUGCGGUGGGUACGGGCAGACUAGAGUGUGGUAGGGGAGACUGGAAUUCCCGGUGUAGUGGUGAAAUGCGUAGAUAUCGGGAGGAACACCAGUGGCGAAGGCGACUACCUGGCCUGUUCUUGACGCUGAGGCGCGAAAGCUAGGGGAGCAAACGGG